CCUACGGGUGGCUGCAGUGGGGGAUAUUGCACAAUGGGGGAAACCCUGAUGCAGCGACGCCGCGUGAGCGAUGGAGUACUUCGGUAUGUAAAGCUCUGUCAGCAGGGAAGAGAAUUACGGUACCUGACUAAGAAGCCCCGGCUACCUACGUGCCAGCAGCCGCGGUAAUACGUAGGGGGCAAGCGUUAUCCGGAUUUACUGGGGGUAAAGGGAGCGUAGACGGCUAAUCAAGUCAGAAGUGAAAACCCAGGGCUCAACUUUGGGACUGCUUUUGAAACUGAGUAGCUAGAGUGCAGGAGAGGUAAGCGGAAUUCCUAGUGUAGCGGUGAAAUGCGUAGAUAUUAGGAGGAACACUAGUGGCGAAGGCGGCUUACUGGACUGUAACUGACGUUGAGGCUCGAAAGCGUGGGGAGCAAACAGGAUUAGAUACCCGUGUAGUC
rnacentral:rRNA from 1 species